UGAUGGGGACAUCAGCUAGGUCCCCAUUUUAUUUACAUAUUUGCUUAUUGUUAUUUCUGGGUUUAUUUGUGUUUAGGGAUUUAUUGGUGGUUUAUUUUAUUCUGGGCUUAUUUUCAUUUUAGGGCUUAUUUGUGGGGAAUUAUUUUAUGUAAGGGGUUUAUUUUAAUUGUUCUUAUGGGGCCCUAUUUAAAGGGAACUUGUAAGCUGAUUAGGGUUUUAAUGCAGAAUUAAAGAAUUUCUUUCCCCACGUUUCCCUCUUCUUCUCUUCUCCUUCCUUCUCCUUCUCCUCUUCUUCUUCCUCCUUCUCCUCUCCUCUUCUCCUGCUUUCAUUUUAAAAUUGGUCCGGCAUCA
rnacentral:lncRNA from 1 species